rnacentral:rRNA from 1 species
AUUGAACGCUGGCGGCAUGCCUUACACAUGCAAGUCGAACGGUAACAGGUCUUCGGAUGCUGACGAGUGGCGAACGGGUGAGUAAUACAUCGGAACGUGCCCGAUCGUGGGGGAUAACGAAGCGAAAGCUUUGCUAAUACCGCAUACGAUCUACGGAUGAAAGCGGGGGAUCUUCGGACCUCGCGCGGCCGGAGCGGCCGAUGGCAGAUUAGGUAGUUGGUGGGAUAAAAGCUUACCAAGCCGACGAUCUGUAGCUGGUCUGAGAGGAUGAUCAGCCACACUGGGACUGAGACACGGCCCAGACUCCUACGGGAGGCAGCAGUGGGGAAUUUUGGACAAUGGGCGCAAGCCUGAUCCAGCCAUGCCGCGUGCAGGAUGAAGGCCUUCGGGUUGUAAACUGCUUUUGUACGGAACGAAAAGGUGCCUUCUAAUAAAGGGCGCUCAUGACGGUACCGUAAGAAUAAGCACCGGCUAACUACGUG